CCAGAGGCAGAGGUUGGAGCCAUGCUGGCCCAAGCCCAGGCACACCGGGAUCCACCAGACGCUGGCAGCGGCUGGGUAGGAGCCCCCUACAGAGAGAACACAGCCCUGCAGACACCUUGAUUUUGGAGUUCUGGCCUCCAGAACCUUGAGAGAAUGCAUUUCUGUAGUUUGAAGCCCUAAGCUUGUGGUAAUUUUGUUAGGGUAGCUCUAGAAAAUAAAUACAUGACCCUUUUUAGGAGAGUAUCAUCUGCUGCCCUCAGUGGCUUGAAGACUAGCAGGAUCAUCUUGACAGAUAACACCAAGAGGGAGAAAUGGCCCAGAGGGUUCCGAUUUCAGGAUUCUCAGUGGGGUUUGCCGGGAGCCAAUGCCAGUUUGAAUUGCAGGGCUGCUGCUUAGAGAAUGGGGCUGGGACUGGAGAGGCCAUUUUAAAAUCGUGGCCAUAAGCAAGAAGCUCAGCACAAAGUCAGGCAUCCUCUCUGCAUUACCACCUCCUCUUGGGGCUGAAUCAGGUGCAGAGGGACAGAAGUUUCUUUGCAAAGCACUAAGCUGAGACCACUGUGGAUGAAUCCUUGGAGGACUCUUUGGGGAUGAGGAGGAAAAGAUGGGAAGAGAAACCAGCAGGGACUCCCCGGUGAGAAGAAUAGGUGGAGAGCCAGGAGGAGGGAGAGAAAAUGGCCUGAGCAAUGGCUCCGUCAACCCAG